GCCUGGAUAGCUCAGUCGGUUAGAGCAUGGUUCUCAUAACACCAUGGUUUCAGGCUUGAUCCUUGUAUGGGGCA